rnacentral:rRNA from 1 species
UACGAGGGGUGCAAGCGUUAUUCGGAAUAACUGGGCGUAAAGAGCGCGUAGGCGGCUUGUUAAGUCUGUUGUUAAAUUGCCCGGCUCAACCGGGAAUCGGCAAUAGAAACUGGCGAGCUAGAGGACAAGAGAGAGAAGUGGAAUUCUCGGAGUAGCGGUAAAAUGCGUAGAUCUCGAGAGGAACACCGAUGGCGAAGGCAGCUUCUUGGCUUGUAUCUGACGCUCAAGUGCGAAAGCGUGGGGAGCAAACAGG